rnacentral:rRNA from 1 species
AACGAACGCUGGCGGCAUGCCUAACACAUGCAAGUCGAACGAACUCUUCGGAGUUAGUGGCGCACGGGUGCGUAACGCGUGGGAAUCUGCCCUUGGGUACGGAAUAACUCAGAGAAUUUGUGCUAAUACCGUAUAAUGUCUUCGGACCAAAGAUUUAUCGCCCAAGGAUGAGCCCGCGUAAGAUUAGCUAGUUGGUGGGG